rnacentral:rRNA from 1 species
UCCGUAGGUGAACCUGCGGAAGGAUCAUAGUAAUCGUCUUUGACGUUCGCUUUUCCCUCGUCCUCGGGACAUUAAGGUGCUCUGGUCGAGGAUAAACGACCCCUCUGACCGAGGUCAAACCCGUCGCUCUGUGUUACCUCUAAAAAUUUUUUUUCCGAGGCACACCUUAAAGAUCGUUCCGCAUUGCGAGUCUAACACCAGUUGUAUAAACUUUUUACAACCGGUAGCGCUGGAUCCCUUGGCACGUCAUUCGAUGAAGACCGUUGCAAAUUGCGAUAAAGUGAUGUGAUGCGCAAGUCCACCACUUAUACGUGAAUCAUCGAGUUGUUGAACGCAUUGCACCGCGCCCUAAUCCGGCUGCGGUAUGCCCUUUGAGCGUCAUUGUAUUCCUUCGGGAGUCCUUUUACAAGGACCCGAGUUCGGAGUCCUCGGUCCCCUGUGGAUCGUGUUCUCUCAGAUCCCUCGCACCGAUCGCCUGAUGCGUCCUCUAAUGCCUAAGCGUGGAGUUCCUUCAGAGUCCGAGAGGUGCUUGACCGAGUCUUGAGCUCGUGUCACCAAGUCUGCCUAACAGCAGUACUACAACGCAUGACCUCAUUGGGGUAGGACAACCCGCUAGACUUAAGCAUAUUAAUCAGCGGAGGAAAAGAAACUAACCAGGAUUCCCUCAGUAACUGCGAGUGAAGCGGGAUCGGCUCAAUGUGUGAAUCUGGCGG